rnacentral:scRNA from 1 species
GUGACCUUGCCGUAGGUGCUGCCUGCGGGGUU